AUUGAACGCUGGCGGCAGGCCUAACACAUGCAAGUCGAACGAGUGGCGGACGGGUGAGUAAUGUCUGGGAAACUGCCUGAUGGUGGGGGAUAACUACUGGAAUCGGUAGCUAAUACCGCAUACCAUCGGAUGUGCCCAGAUGGGAUUAGCUAGUAGGUGGGGUAAAGGCGCACCUAGGCGACGAUCCCUAGCUGGUCUGAGAGGAUGACCAGGCAAACGUGAGAUGAGAAACGGUGACAACUCCUACGGGAGGCAGGCAGGGAGAAGAUUGCACAAUGGGCGCAAGCCUGAUGCAGCCAUGCCGCGUGUAUGAAGAAGGCCUUCAGGUUGUAAAGUACUGUCAGCGGGGAGGCGUUACCCGCAGAAGAAGCACCGGCUAACUCCGUGCCAGCAGCCGCGGUAAUUC
rnacentral:rRNA from 1 species